rnacentral:misc_RNA from 1 species
GUUUGUAACACCCAAAGCCGGUGGGGUAACCUUUUAGGAGCUAGCCGUCUAAGGUGGGACAGAUGAUUAGGGUGAAGUCGUAACAAGGUAGCCGUAGGAGAACCUGCGGCUGGAUCACCUCCUUUCUAAGGAAUAAUACGGAACCGCACACGAGUCAAAGUUUUGUUUAGUUUUGAGAGGUCUACUCUCACUUUUGUUCUUUGAAAACUGAAUAAUAUCUAUAAUUUUCUAAUUUUAAUUAAUCAUAAUUAAACCGAGAGAAAACCGCGUAAUUUUAAAGAGUUAAACAAGAUUAGUUCAAAAUAAUCGCAAUACUCAAUUAAUCGCUUUACCGUAGGUAAAGUUAGGUUAAGUUAGGAAGGGCGCAUGGUGGAUGCCUUGGUACUAGGAGCCGAUGAAGGACGGGACUAACACCGAUAUGCCUCGGGGAGCUGUAAGUAAGCUUUGAUCCGGGGAUUUCCGAAUGGGGCAACCCAAUAGUUUUAAUCGACUAUUAUCCGCAUCUGAAUUCAUAGGAUGUGUGAAGGUAA